CCUUGGCCUCGCAGACGAGGGCAGGGGCGCCGCGAGGGAGCUGAGAGAGGGCGGCGGAGGGGACGCCAGAGAGCACCUCCCAAACGUCCCUCCGGGGAGGUCCCUGGGAAGCCAGCUCUCCCUCCGCCCGGGAGCCGGCAGGGGCUGCUCAGGAAUGGAGAGGAGCCCUCCUGUCCUUUCUGAGAGCGUGCAGCGGCCUGCAAGAUCUACUGGUAUGUACUUCUGUAGGGGUUGGAGACAUUUACUGCACCCAAAAAUCACCCACUAGAGAGGCUCUCCUUGCCCCCUUGAUGGAGUGAGCAGCCAUCUUGAAGAAGCUCACACAGGAGCCUCUAGGACCUGGGGGUGGCCUGCAGCCAACAGCCAGCAAAGAGCCAGAGUCCGUAGUUCUGCAGCCACAAAGAAAGUCUGCCAAGAACCUGAAUGAGCUUGGAAGUGGGCUCUUCACCGUUCAAGUAUCCAGCCAAGAAUGCAGCUCAUCUGACAUCUUGAUUUGUACCUGUGAGGCCUUGAACAGGACACUGUCCAGUUCAGAAGAUGGGUGGAGUUCGCCAGAUGAGCAAGUGGCUGUGCCUGGACUCCUGACCUGUAGAA